rnacentral:rRNA from 1 species
UACAGAGGUGGCAAGCGUUGUUCGGAAUUACUGGGCGUAAAGGGCGCGUAGGCGGCCUUCUAAGUCGGACGUGAAAGCCCCAGGCUUAACCUGGGAACUGCGUCCGAUACUGGGAGGCUUGGAUUCGGGGGAGGGAUGUGGAAUUCCAGGUGUAGCGGUGAAAUGCGUAGAUAUCUGGAGGAAUACCGGUGGCGAAGGCGGCAUCCUGGACCGGCAUUGACGCUGAGGAGCGAAAGCCAGGGGAGCAAACGGG